rnacentral:lncRNA from 1 species
UCCCGAGUCCUGCUUUAUUGAGGCAGCUAUCCAGGAGCUCAAGACUCGGGAAGAGGCUCUGUCGGGAUUGGCCGGAAGCAGAAGGGAGGUCACUGGUGUUGUGGCUGCUCUGGAACAACUGGUGCUGAUGGCUCCCUUGGCGAAGGAGUCUGUUUUUCAACCCAGGAAGGUUAGUGUGUUCCUGUUACUAAGUGGCUGCCGUUCCUCAAAUGCUGUCAUUGAGCUGGUAGGCAUUACUGUGAGAUCUAAACCUUCUCAAGAGAAGAGGGGACAAUGAGUAUUUUCUGUAUGCUUGUUAUUAGUUCUUUCCCCAGGGGUGUUAAAUCAGUGAACACGACAGCUAAGAUAAACAUCUAGGGAGCUUGGCUCUUAGGUCUGCAUUUGCCACAUUGCUUUCGGAAAGCAGGAGAUAUCCUUUCUGUUGACUUAGAGUUUGCUGCAACAGGGUGUGCUGGAGUAUCUGUCUGCCUUCGAUGAAGAAACCACGGAAGUUUGUUCUCUGGACACUCCUUCUAGACCUCUUGCUCUCCCUCUGGUAGAAGAGGAGGAAGCAGUGUCUGAACCAGAGCCUGAGGGGUUGCCAGAGGCCUGUGAUGACUUGGAGUUAGCAGAUGACAAUCUUAAAGAGGGGACCAUUUGCACUGAGUCCAGCCAGCAGGAACCCAUCACCAAGUCAGGCUUCACACGCCUCAGCAGCUCUCCUUGUUACUACUUUUACCAAGCGGAAGAUGGACAGCAUAUGUUCCUGCACCCUGUGAAUGUGCGCUGCCUCGUGCGGGAGUACGGCAGCCUGGAGAGGAGCCCCGAGAAGAUCUCAG